CCUACGGGGGGCUGCAGUGGGGAAUAUUGCACAAUGGGCGAAAGCCUGAUGCAGCAACGCCGCGUGAAGGAAGAAGGGUUUCGGCUCGUAAACUUCUAUCAACAGAGACGAAAGAAAUGACGGUACCUGAAUAAGAAGCUCCGGCUAACUACGUGCCAGCAGCCGCGGUAAUACGUAGGGGGCGAGCGUUAUCCGGAUUUACUGGGUGCAAUGGUUGAGUAGGCGGCAUGGUAAGCCAGGGGUGAAAGCGUUGGGCUUAACCUGGGGACUGCCUUGGGAACUAGCAAACUGGAGUGUGGGAGAGGAUAGGGGAAGUGCGGGUGUAGGAUGGAAAGACGAAGAUAUCUGGAGGAAAAUCAGUGGGGAGGGCGAGUAUCUGGCACAUAACUGACGCUGAGGAGCGAAAGCGUGGGUAGCAAACAGGAUUAGAGACCCGAGUAGUC
rnacentral:rRNA from 1 species